rnacentral:rRNA from 1 species
UACGGGGGGGGCAAGCGUUGUUCGGAAUUACUGGGCGUAAAGGGCGCGUAGGCGGUUGGAUAAGUCAGCUGUGAAAACCACGGGCUUAACUCGUGGCCUGCAGUUGAGACUGUCUGGCUUGAGUGUGGGAGAGGAGAGUGGAAUUCCUGGUGUAGCGGUGAAAUGCGUAGAUAUCAGGAGGGACACCGGUGGCGAAGGCGGCUCUCUGGACCACAACUGACGCUGAGGCGCAAAAGCUAGGGGAGCAAACAGG